UGCCUUAGUAACGGCGAGUGAAGCGGCAACAGCUCAAAUUUGAAAUCUGGUCCCCUUUGGGGGCCCGAGUUGUAAUUUGAAGAGGAUGCUUUUGGCGAGGCGCCGUCCGAGUUCCCUGGAACGGGACGCCGCAGAGGGUGAGAGCCCCGUACGGUCGGACGCCGAGCCUCUGUAAAGCUCCUUCGACGAGUCGAGUAGUUUGGGAAUGCUGCUCAAAAUGGGAGGUAAACCCCUUCUAAAGCUAAAUACUGGCCAGAGACCGAUAGCGCACAAGUAGAGUGAUCGAAAGAUGAAAAGCACUUUGAAAAGAGAGUUAAAAAGCACGUGAAAUUGUUAAAAGGGAAGCGCUUGCGACCAGACUUGCGCCCGUCGGAUCAACCGUCGCUUGCGGCGGCGCACUCCGGCGGGCUCAGGCCAGCAUCAGUUCGUCCGGGGGGAGAAAGGCGGCGGGAAUGUGGCUCUUCGGAGUGUUAUAGCCCGCCGUGUAAUACCCUCGGGUGGACUGAGGACCGCGCGUAUGCAAGGAUGCUGGCGUAAUGGUCGUCAGCGACCCGUCUUGAAACACGGACCAAGGAGUCGUCCUAAUAUGCGAGUGUACGGGUGUCAAACCCCUGCGCGUAAUGAAAGUGAACGGAGGUGAGAGCUUCGGCGCAUCAUCGACCGAUCCUGAUGUUCUCGGAUGGAUUUGAGUAAGAGCAUAUUGGGCCGGACCCGAAAGAAGGUGAACUAUGCCUGUGUAGGGUAAAGCCAGAGGAAACUCUGGUGGAGGCUCGCAGCGGUUCUGACGUGCAAAUCGAUCGUCAAACAUGGGCAUGGGGGCGAAAGACUAAUCGAACCUUCUAGUAGCUG
rnacentral:rRNA from 1 species